rnacentral:lncRNA from 1 species
UCAAGGGUCCGUUCGUUACUAAAUAUAAGAUUUUUUAGAGAUUCCAACACAGGCUACAUAUACAGUAAAAUGAACGAAUCUAUAUUUUAAAACAUAUUUAUACAUCCGUAUGUAGUCUCUGUUGGAAUCUAUAAAAGUUCGUAUGUUUAGAAAACGGAGGGAGGGAGUAGUUCAUUAUAAGUAACUAGUAGACUGCCCGUGCGUUGCUACGGGCUACAAUAAAGUGCAUCUCUACUACUAAUAAACAAUCCAAUAUUAUCUUUUCUAAACGCACCCCAUAAAACAUACACGGAUUUAUUACCACCGCAUGAUUAGACCUAUAUUGUCCGUAGUUGCAGGGCUGGCACAAUAUCAUCCAAGAUAACUUUAUUAAGUCUAGCACAUUAAUAGUUCACCAUAAGGUCAUACCCAAAGACUAGAAGUUUGCUAAUAGUGAUGCAAUGCACGAAAAGUAAAAAUUUUGCAUGGAAUUUUUUGUUUGCACAAUGGAAUUUACAACAAUCGUGAAUUAAAACUAUUUGUACUCUAAUGGACAGAACUGCCAAAGAACAUAACUACAGGGUGAUGAUAAAUAACAUAUGGAACUGCAAGUGAGCACAGAAUGAAACACACACCCUCGGCUUCAAACCAAAGUGUUUCACAUGAGAAAUGAUUCCAUCAAUACUCCAGUCCGGCAGCGUUCAAAUAGGAGAAGUUAAAGGGAAUAGCAUUUCAACCAUGUCCCUACUGCCUUUAGAGGCAGCAACUUCAAUUGGUGUCCUACCACACUGCAAGAGUAAAUAAUAAAUAACAAAUAUAAAUACAAAAUGUAAUUGAAAGAUUUCCAAAUUAAUAUUUAGGAAUCACAGCCUAAGAUCUCAAUGAAAUGGCUGGUUGGACUUCAAGAGAAUCACUAUGAAGGACAAAUGAUAGAACAGUCUCGUUCAUCCUUCCGAACAAAAUUUGUAAGACAAGGGUUACGUCAAGUACACUAACACUAAUAACCGAGAGCUUCAACUAAUAUGUUGUAUUGCAUAGACUUUUCAAAAUAGAAUAGGAUGAAGAUGAUACAAACACCAAAAUAUACAUGGAAAGGGCAAAGAAAUCUUUGCAGAAGUAACAUUUUAUGUUUCUUUGACCAGGCUAUGAAGAAACUGGAGAUUUUUUUCAAUUCCUAAUUCAGUAGACAAGAAACAUAUACAUGACAUACUCUGCAAUUUACAGCACAGAAGAUUCAAAUUUUACAAUGUUUUGACAUCAUCUCUGCUACUAUAAACACACAGCUCUUUGUCUCUCUCCCUCCCUCUCUACACCACCGCUGCCCUUGUCGGAGCGAGGUUAUGUGGAGUCCACCUGUAAUCCCUCCUGCACUGGUGCCGGCCUCCAUUGCCCCCUGGCCGCAGAGUCAAAGUUCAGGCGAAGGGGUCCUUGGUAGGGCACAUGAUCUGAUCCUCUUCUAAGCGUCCGAUGCAUUAUCCCACACUAAAUUAUCGAGGCACUGGGACGUGCCAGCAGAAACCUCUAGGUAGUGAUGGAUUUUAGUGCCGAAUUCUUCCAUGAUUUCAGGUUGCGAUUUAUAUUGAUUUAUUUACAUUCACCGGUAUAGCUAUAUUUUUAUCCUAUAUCCGCAUUUUUUUCUUUUUUCUUUUUAGUUGUGUUGGACAUGUUGGAAGGACAGGCCUGGUGCAGUGGUGAAGUACUCCCACUUGUGCCAAGAGGUCCAAGGUUCGACGCGGCCUCUCUGCAUUGCAAUGUGCGGGGGUAAGGCUUGCCUCGUAUAAUCCCUCUCUAGACCCCACCUAGUGUUGGAGCUUCUAACAUUGGGUCUGUCCUUUUUGUGUUGGACGUGUUGACUGUGUGCAUCAUGCUAUGCAGAGGCCGGCCAUUUGCUCAGUGCAGUUGUAUCACCUCAAUAUAUCGGUUGAAUGAAAAUGUCCUUUAUUUGAAAGGCUAUACUUUUAUCAUAAAUAACUAGAAGUAAAGCACCAGUACUGAUGUUCUUCGCAUGUUUUUUUAUUUUUGUAAUCUUUGUAAAAGCAUGUGCGAAAAAAUGAUCAUACAUAACUACUCCCACCAUCCCAAAAUAAGUGUCUUUGAUUUAGUAAAAUUUUAGAAAAUUUUACUAAAUCAAAGACACUUAUUUUUGGACGGAGGGAGUACAUCUUAUAGCUUGUACACCCUAAUUCAGGAUAUAUAUAUAUAUAUAUAUGACCUGGGCACAAGAAACUUUAUACCAUCAAUUCUAAUGAUACAGGGAAAGUAAACAGUGAUGCAUAUAUUUUCUUCAUACUUGCAUCCUUUAUAAUAGGUAUUUUGUUUUGAGCAAAGGCCUUUAUAUUUCUCUUCUGUUAGGACGUUGAGCAGGACAUGGAGCAUCUGUAGAUCUAUUGAGGUAGUUAUUAGGUUCUGACUUCUGAUUGUGACCAAAAGCUCAAGUAGGGAAAUAACAUAAUCUAUUAUGCUGAUCUGAGAGUGAAAUUAUUCAGAUGGCGUUUUGGAGGUCCUCUUUACAUGGAGGUGAGAUAUCAAGCAUGAGUAAGUGAGAAUGUGAGAUGAUUGAAGAGAUUGAGGAAUAUUGGCAUAAGUUCGCCUAUGGUAUAAUAACUGGCAACUUUGAUCUACCAUAAGUUCUCUAUUUUUACAUCCUUUUACUUAUGUAUUUAGUACUUACAGUACCUAUAAUGCUUAAUCCAAGGCGCAAGAAGGCCCUCACAGAAUAAGAAGUGAAAUAAGGUUACUGAAUUCCCCUGACCAUGUGUCAUCAAGAAUUGACCGGGGUGAAUGUCAGAUGUAUAAAUACAACCUAACCAUUCCAUUUUAUAAUCCCACAUAGGUUUGAAUCGUGUAUUUUUCUUCUGUGCAACUGAAAAAUGGAUUUCGGUUAUGCACAGAAGCAGCAUCUUCUCUUCUGCUUGCUGCAUUGCAUACUGCAUAUAUAGUCGUCACAAAUGUCUUAAGCCUUGACCUUAACCAAUAAAAUGUGGGUUAUAUGUCACAAAAAUUAUUCCAUUAAAUUCGUACUAUAUAAAGAAUUUUCCUAUGGUAUAAUCUUUAAGUUACAUGACUUGUGUAUUAUUUCUCUAAUUGAUGAUCAAAGUUAAAUCUCAAAAAUGUGUAUGCCAUCUUUUUGUAGCUCAAGGAAGUAGUGUUUUCUCCUCAUGCAAGCCUAUUCCUGGUGUCAGACGAUGUGUGGGUAAGAUGAUUAUCCUAAUCUGUCAAGUGUCAAGAGUCUACAGCCUAACAUAACCUCGUAGAGAAAAAAUGGAACGAUAAUGUCAGCUAACUUACAGCAUAUGCAUGAAAAGUAGAUGAUGACAAGUGAAAACAGCAAAACAGGAAAACAAGUAAAGCUCACUUCAUCGGGAAUAUUGGGGUUAGCACCAGCAUCUAGUAAGAACUUCAUGAUGCCAGGUGAGUCAAACUUCACUGCCAACAUCACGUAACUACCACCAUCUAAGUCAAUAAAAUUCAUAUCAGCACCAGCCUGUGCAAAUGAACAACUAUUUGAUCAUUUGUUUGGGUUAAUGCUUUAUAUGUUAUAUACACAAAGAAAAUGAAGUUGUGCCUACAAAACUUUAACAAAGCUCCAUACGAAGAAAGAGUACUGACCUUAACAAGUAGCUUGACACAUUCCAACGGCUCUCUAGGCAUGGGCCUGAUGGCACGGAUGGCCCAACUCAAUGGGGUAUAACCAAGACCGUAAACCUUGUUAGGCUACGAAAAAUGGAAGAAUCAAUCACUUACACUAGUAGGAAAGAAAAGAGCGACCAGUAGAGAAAUUAAUUUUGAGAUACAUCAAUAGAGAAGUAAAGUAUACUAAUGGUGUGUUAAAUAUAUUGGUAUUUCUGAAGGGAACAGAAAGAAAUAUAUUACAUAGAAAUUAGACAUAACAUGAGCAUGUUUUACUUUAUGAUAAUUAAAUACUGUCCAUGAUGAAUUUUUGUUGUUUCAAAUACUCCCUCUUAAACUAAUAUAGGACCAUUUAGAUCACUAAAACGGUCCUAUAUUAGUUUACAGAGGGAGUACAGUGCUGAUCUUUUGUUCCGAUGGAGCACAAGAUCAAAGGCAACAAGAUCUUCCAUUCCAGUGCAUUCCCAAAUAGAAUAUACACAGAUGAAGCACGAGUACCACUGGCCACAAGAUAUUCCAUUCCAGAGUUCUCUUUUUCACCGCAAAGAAGAGAACAAAGAAACUGGUGUCUUACAUCGACAUGGUGCUCCAACAAGAUCUUAAUUAUGUCAUGGUGUUUAGAAAUAGCAGCUGCAUGCAAUGGUGUCCCUUGUGCAGAAUCUAAAUCCACAUUGAUUCCUUUUGAAAGCAGUAGUUGUACUAUUUCACAAUGUCCUGGAAAACGAGGUUUCAAAAAAGAAUGAAUGAGACAAGAAUAUUUCUCAACAUCGGAUACGAGCUUUCAGUUUUCAUUUUGCACUAAAAAUUAACUCUGGGCCACUUUUCAGUUUUGUGAUCAUGAACUGCCCAGUAACCAUUUUGGUUACCACUUAUCUCAUCAAGGACCAUGUUUUCAAAAGUGGACGGAUUGGGACUAUUCAAAUUUUCCUUGUCUAUCCUUGGAAGUAGAAGAAGUCGUCAAUUUUGAGCUUAUAAGAUUAUAAUCAAAACCUUAGAUAACAUUAGAUAUCCAACCUCAAAGUUAUUCUCUCCACACACUCGUUAAUGUUUCUUCGGCCAUCAUCCAAAUAAAAAAUAUGGCAAGUAUAUGGGAGCUUUGUUCGAUGGAAAUCACAUAAAAAAAGGCAAGUAUAUGCUAAAAUAUAAACAUCAAGCAUCACACAAGCCAAGAGAGGUGUCAUAGUAGUCAACUAUAACGAUCACAAGAGUGUGAAGGCUGUAGCUCUGUACGCUGUGAUGUGUGUUUCUUACUUACUUUAUUCAAAGAGAGAGAACCUACCAAACAAAUGUUAACAAAAUUAAGACUAAUCUUAUAAUAACUAGUUUGAAGGAAUGGGUCCAAUUUGGAUCAGUCGCCCAGAAAUGCUUACUUCUCUCACAACAACAUGGGGCAAAACCAAACAGAGAGAGGCUACCAGACAAAUGUUAACAAAUUAAUCCAAUUUGGAUCAGUCGACCCAGAAAUGCUUACUUCAUAUAACAAUGGAAAAUUGAAAGUUUAUUUUAUAACCAGCCAUAUAAAACAAAAAAAAGAAUCCUGAGACUAAUUUUCACUGACUGAGAAUUAGCAAAACCAUUACGAAAACGCUUUAUCCAGUUAUCUCUAAGGCUGAUGCUGUGCCUCCUACCACCGGUUAGGAUCCCUAUGCCUGCUAACCCACAGCUGCGGGGCCAUGUUGGUCGGAGUCUAGUGCUGCUUAUAUCCAGCGAUGUGGCUUUCUAAGGCAAAAAAUCAAAUUGACUAUGUAUGCACUGACACGUGAUAAAUAAGCAUACUUGUUGGGAAAGAGAGAGACCUUCCUUUGCAGCGCCAUGGAGAGGUGAGUGUACUUUGCCAGCUAGUGGAUCAACACCAUGAUCAAGAAGAUAUCUUGCAGCAUCAGCUCUCCCAUAUGAGGCAGAAAGGUACAGUGGCGUGUCACCUGCAACAGUCGAAAAAUUAAACAUGAGGAGUUCAACAAAUUCACGCCAAUCCUGCCCUCAAUACAAAAAGUUGUGCACAAGAGAGCCAAACGUGAAAAGAGAACUUAGCUAGUGCAGUAUCAAAUGCCUUUCCAUCUGACACAUAUUUACUGUUGACAAAAUUGCACAACGACAGACAGAGGAGACACUUCAUAUACAGUCCACAAGUGAGCCGAAGACACGUCGUUGUCAUCACCCCUUCCUUAUCGAAGCUGGGUAAACCUUAUUGUAUUAGACAGUCGAAAAGUCGUCAUGCUAAGGCCAGCACCGAAGCCAGCCAAUACAACCUGUCGGGUCAUUGCUAAUUUUUAGGAUUAUUUUGUUCAUAAUAUACCAUAAAUAGUACAAUAUCUUAUAUAUAGAUAAUGCUAACUGACGAACUUUCACCAGGAAGAAACUCCCGGCAAAUCUCCUCGCUGCCAUUUGAUCGAAAUCAAACGAUGGUAGUUUUAAAAAAAUAUUGCCUCCACAACACAAUAAUGACAUGCUAGUAUGAAGAAAUCACCAUGUCCCUAAAAUUAAAACUGUCAUAAAAAUGGUCGUAGAUGCUAACCCCUAGGCGAAUGAUCGCUAGCUAAGAGGGCCCUUCAACAUUUAUGUGUCCCUUGUUAUUACAGAAAUAAUUCUAAUAUUAAGUUACCAAGUGUGAUGAUUAGUAGACAUAAAUGAGUUAGAAAUUAUGGGUUUAAACACCCUUUGUUUCUUGCUUUGGAAAGAUAUAUACAAGUGUAUGUGUGUCUAUAUCAAGGAGGGUAUGUACUACUUUGUUUAUUUUUUUGACAUCAAGGGUCCGUUCGUUACUAAAUAUAAGAUUUUUUAGAGAUUCCAACAUAGGCUACAUAUACAGUAAAAUGAACGAAUCUAUAUUUUAAUACAUAUUUAUACAUUCAUAUGUAGUCUCUGUUGGAAUCUAUAAAAGUUCGUCGUAUGUUUAGAAAACGGAGGGAGGGAGUAGUUCAUUAUAAGUAACUAGUAGACCGCCCGUGCGUUGCUACGGGCUACAAUAAAGUGCAUCUCUACUACUAAUAAACAAUCCAAUAUUAUCUUUUCUAAACGCACCCCAUAAAACAUACACGGAUUUAUUACCACCGCAUGAUUAGACCCAUAUUGUCCGUAGUUGCAGGGCUGGCACAAUAUCAUCCAAGAUAACUUUAUUAAGUCUAGCACAUUAAUAGUUCACCAUAAGGUCAUACCCAAAGACUAGAAGUUUGCUAAUAGUGAUGCAAUGCACGAAAAGUAAAAAUUUUGCAUGGAAUUUUUUGUUUGCACAAUGGAAUUUACAACAAUCGUGAAUUAAAACUAUUUGUACUCUAAUGGACAGAACUGCCAAAGAACAUAACUACAGGGUGAUGAUAAAUAACAUAUGGAACUGCAAGUGAGCACAGAAUGAAACACACACCCUCGGCUUCAAACCAAAGUGUUUCACAUGAGAAAUGAUUCCAUCAAUACUCCAGUCCGGCAGCGUUCAAAUAGGAGAAGUUAAAGGGAAUAGCAUUUCAACCAUGUCCCUACUGCCUUUAGAGGCAGCAACUUCAAUUGGUGUCCUACCACA